rnacentral:lncRNA from 10 species
CUGGCCCGCACACCUGGCGGGGCCGGCGAGUUGAGAUGCCCCCGCCGGCUGGCGGAACUGUGCGCCCCGCCCGCCGAGGCCCGCUCCCCCUCGAGGCCUGAGGCCCAGUUCUAUAGGGGCGCGAGAGAGCGGCGGCGUGGGGGGCGCGGAGGAAGCGCCGGCCCCCGCCUCCACCGCCUCCUUCGUGGUUGCGGCCCAGGCCGAACAGGGUACCGUGCCCCGGCCGCCUUGGCCUUGGCCACCGCGAGGUCCGGGGCGACUACACCCAGCAGCCCUGUGGCCCUCCUACUGCUCUGGAGACCUGGAGUGGGGUUACAGAGGGAAGCGACUCGCUGCGAGCUCCCCAUCGAAUAUGGAGCCACCAGGUCACGGGACGACGUGCGCUCUACAGAAUGUGAGACAAGGGCCCUCCACACCCAGCCAUUCAGGCCUGAGGUCCUGGCUCCGAGACUGAGGCCGAGACGCGGCAAGCCCCGCGCCGGACCAGCUCUGCCCCUCCCGCACCCACGUGUCUGCGCACAGCCCUCCUUUGCGAUAGAACCCCCUUCCUGGUUCUCCACCACUAAUGAUCUGCCGGAAUUAAACUGGUAACUUUCCCUGCCCUUGAACCGGGAGUUUCGGGAUGAGUUUGCCAAUCCCUGUGCUAUUUGUAACCAGCCCCGUGACACGUGAUACGGAUCCAACUGUGCUAGUUUCCACACCAGGGGUCAGGGCACGGUGGAAGGUGAGUCAAGGGUUCUCUGCCCAAGCGCAGAGGUGCCCUGAGCCACGGGGACUUCCCAGCCCUGCCUUCUCUUCUCAGCUUCCUGUCUGCCUUGCCUGAAACCCUAUCUAGAGUUAAGGCCAAUGGAUGAAACUUUUCAAUGUGCAAGCAAGCACUUUACCUACCUGAUACAACAAGAGAUUCCUGGUCAUGCUCACUGAAGUGGAUUGACCUGCAGAAUUCAGUGGCACCAUUUUUCAGAAUUCAUAAGAUGGCAGAAAGACAAUCAGCUAAUCAAGUCUGCCAACUUCUAGGUCUCUUUUCUCUUUUGGUCUCUUUCUAAUUCUGCCCCAAAUUAAUCUUAGCACCCAGAAGCACACAUUUCCCUGCUUCCAAUUUCUGAUGUUUUCUGAGCCCCAGCUGGGCUUGGUUUAUAGGAAUUUAUUCUUGAGCGCUCAGUCUUGGGUCCAUGUUUCAACACAUAUUUCCAGGACUCCCAAUGACUCCUCUGAACCAACCUGGGCCCCAUCCAGCUGUAUAACCCUGAAAAGGGUGUACCAAAGUCCCUGGGAUAUUUUCCUCCUCCCUAACCCCCAGGUCGGACUUAGACCCAGGGGCUUCAGAGACAUAUCAGGAGUGCAAGUAGAGGCUGACUAAUUUGGAAAGCUUGAAUUAAGGGUUUAGACUGGCUCCCUUAGCUGAUCCUAGUGCAAAGGCUAAUCUUUUGCAGAGUCAUUUUAUGGCGUGAGAUGGUGCUGUUGAUUUUGCACAGUUAAUAACAGCUCAGCCUGAGUGCUGCUAGCCUUAGCCAAGGGUGUAGAAUGCAAGCAGUUGUUUCAGCGAAAGUAAGAAUUUGCUGGGAGCACACUUGGCUUUUCUGAAGAGGCCUCUGCACUGCCAAGGGAGAAAGACCCCCCCUCAACAGUGGCCACAGCAUCUGGUCUGUGGCUAGAGGAGACCAACGUGUUGAUAUUAAGAGUUCUUUGGAAAAGUACUGUCUCUUCACUCAUUCACUGCUGACUGGAUCCCAAAGAAUGCACUGUCUCCCCAGCAUGCAGAAAGGGGAUGAAUCAAACUGAGUUUAGAUCCUGGCUUUGUCACUUACCAGCUGUGUGACCUGGGGCAAGUAAACAUCUUUUCUGUAUCUUAGUGUUCUCAUCUGUAAUGUGAGAAUAACCAGACCUACCUCGAAGGAUGUCUUGCUUGAAGAGUAAAUAUCUGGCACAUGGAGAGUGAUCAAUAAAUGGAUUUCUCCUUAACUACUACUCGUCUAGCUACACUCAUCUCAUCUUCCACCUGUGGCUCAGGAAGCUUGAGCUGAUGAAUCCAUGGAGACUGUAAAGAAAUAGCAGGGGAGGUCGAUCAGGGUGCUCACUGAGAGCAAACUGUGGCUCUGUUGAUUUCUGAUGCCCAGUUGGCAAUGGUUGGAGUUCCCAGCCUGCCAGCUCAGCUGUUUCUCCCUAUAGCGCAUCUCUCAGUUAUUUCUAGGAGUUCUUAAAGGUGUGCAUCGCAUCAUCUCAAAAACCAGCCCGUCCAACUUGUGUUAUCUGCCCUGUUGAUCUACCUUUGUUUUCCCAAGGUCUGCAGCCUCCAAAGCUUCUGAAAUGGGACUUGCUGCUGCUGGUAUCUUUAGAGGGGCAUGUGGUAUCCUGCCAAGGGUGAUUCCUUAGCCUGUCAGUGGCCCAGGGCUCAGGAUUCUACCUGCCUCACAUCUCCUGGAUCCAUCUGCAUGUCUUGGCCCAAUCUCCAUAUCCUCGGUUCUGGCCCCUCCACUACCUGGUUGCCACUGAUGAUUCCAAGGAUUCAGAUCAGCUCACAGUGCUCCAAAAAUAUAGCAAAGUGAAACAAAUGUGCAAAUAAAUGAUAAAAACAAAAGAAGAAAAAGAAAGAAAAGACUUAUUGUAUAUCCUACCUCCUUCAAACAGCUUGCUGUGAUGUGCAUGGUGGUGUGGGAACCUUCUGAUGUCAUACAUACAGGUUUCCUUCGCCUUCUGUCUUGAUUGGAAACAGCCUGAAGCCCUCACCAGAAGCCAGAGGCAGAUGCUGGUGCCAUGCUUCUUGUACAGUCUGCAGAACUGUGAGCCAAAUAAACCUCUUUUCUUUAUAAAUUACCCAGCCUCGGGUAUUCCUUUAUAGUAACACAAACACACUAAGACAAUACCAAUUCAGAAUUCAGGCCUUCUCAUCAACAAAUCUUUCCUCUUCCAACCACCUCAGCCAACACCUCCUACCAGCUCACCCUGGACCAGGGACUACCUGAAACAGCCCCUUCUGCAAAAACAGGAAUUGGAGCAUCUCUUUCCAUCUUGCUUUUCCAGCCAUUCCUGCUACAACUGUCCUUCACUCUAACUAGACCCUUCACUUGUUCCAAUUAACUAUUUUUUCUUUACUUCUUUCUUGUGUAGUUUAGAUUCUAUGCUCUAUCAAUUCAGUAGCAGUCUCUCUGAUAGACUUAAAUUUCAAAGCCUGUGUCUUUGCAUCAUGCCAUCUGGUAAUGUUGCCAUUACCUACUUUUCUGAGCCUGUCCUCAGUAGCUAAGUGCUACUGGUGAACGACCCAACUCUAAAAUUGACUGCUAUCUGUGUAAAUCAAUGUUCACUAAACUGAAGUGGGCCCUCAACAAUGCCUGGCUACCCAACCCCAUUUUGUUCCUAGGCUCACUUUCUGCAUAACUGUUUUCAGCAGGUAGUCCCAAAGUCCAGUGAGCCUUUUUCCCUGCUCAGGUGACAGACACCCUUGAUGGUUCUGAUCCUUGCCUGGCCAGCAUGGUUCUUCAGGGAAGACAACAAGCAAGGGUAAAGCAAGGGUAAAUCCUUGGCCAAGCACACUCCCCCUAUAGUGCCCCUGGCUUGGAGUCCCAGUGUUAUAGCUCUUUAGUUUGCUCUUCAGUGCUUGAUACCUGAAGCAUACUUGCUUCCAGCCCAGGUCAGGGAGCUUCAAGUCUGUGCCAAAGCUGUGCCAAAGCUGAAUCUCCCUUCAUGGUGACUUUUCCCUGAUAUUGGACCCAGGUCAGUGUUCUAAGCUCACUUCACUUCUGAUGAGUUCUUCCUUCAGGGCCCUAGAUAUUUCUUGCUAGAGACCUAAGUCUGAAUUAUCUCCAUCCAUCAGCAUGGCUUAAAAUAAGGAUUGGUGAACUUAUUCUGUAAUAGGCUAGAUAGCAAAUAUUUUAGGCCCUAUAGGUCAUUUGAGUUAUUUGGUCUCUGUUGCAACUACUCACCUCUACCAUCACAGCUAGAAAGCAGCCAUAAACAUAGACAAUAUAAACAAAUGAGCAUGGCUAUGAUUCAAUACAACUUUACUUAUGAACACCAAUAUUUGAAUUUCAUAGAAUUUUCACGUCACAAAAUAUUCUUCUUUUAAUUUUUUUCAGCCAUUGAAAGUAUAAGUUCUCCUAUUCAAGUAGGUGUAGUUAGAAAUAAACAAAAUAAAGUCAUUCUUAGUUCACUGGUCUUACAAAAACAGGAGGCAGCCAGAUUUGGCCCUUGGGCUAUAGCUUGCUCACUUCUGCAAUACUAAUUUGUUGAACUUAAAAAGAAAUAGGGGGUAAAUCUGGCAAGAUGGUGGAGUAGAAAAUACCAGGAAUCUAUCUCCCCACUUAGACAAUGAUUUGCUGGCAGAAUCUGUUUGAUGUAACUGUUUUAUAACUCUGAAAUCUAUUGCAGGCUUAAAAACUUCCAGUGGAAGGUUGGGCAGUAAAUUGCAGUUAC